UUUUCAAGCAAAGCUUGUGCCAGUUGUCCGCUUGUAUUUAUCUAACUGUUAUCCUGAACCCAGAUAGUCCUAUUUUUAGUAUCUUAGUAUCAUCUGCAAAGGCCGCUCGCCGUCAAGUUUUUUCAGCAAUCCGGCACACUGACCGCAAGCCCUCCGCGCGACGUUUCCUUGUAUUUCGUCUGCAUAUCGGCCCCGGUAUCCCGCAUCGUACGGAUAACCUGAUCCAAAGUAACGG
rnacentral:misc_RNA from 1 species